rnacentral:sRNA from 1 species
UUCGAAGCCCAGUUGCCGUGGAAACCGCGUGGGGCGCCUUCUUUAGUUCUUCAGUUGAGGGUACCCGGGGAUCAAGGGCUCGGGGGCUCACUUCCACCUUGAAGCUACUAGGGAUAUGGUUCAUUAGUGAAUGGAUGGCCACUGGAAAAAGCACAGCUUUCCAGCUGGUGGAACUGGGCCCAGGUGUUCACUCAACUUGGAUCUGUGCUGAAAAAUUGUGACAUUUCAGUACAUCUGGUAGAGGUAAGCCAAAAAUUAAGUGAGAUUCAAGCAUUGACACUGACUGAAGAGAAGGUCCCGUUAGAGCGAAAUGCUGGAUCCCCAGUGUAUAUGAAAGGUGUCACUAAGUCUGGGAUUCCAGUUUCCUGGUACCGAGAUCUGCAAGAUGUUCCAAAAGGAUACAGCUUUUAUCUUGCACAUGAAUUUUUUGAUGUUCUUCCUGUGCACAAAUUUCAGAAAACACCACAGGGAUGGCGAGAAGUAUUUGUUGACAUUGAUCCACAGGUUUCUGAUAAACUGAGGUUUGUUUUGGCACCUUCUGCCACCCCAGCAGAAGCCUUCAUACAACAUGACGAAACAAGGGAUCAUGUUGAAGUGUGUCCUGAUGCUGGUGUUAUCAUUGAGGAACUUUCUGAACGCAUUGCAUUAACUGGAGGUGCUGCACUGGUUGCUGAUUAUGGUCAUGACGGAACAAGGACAGAUACCUUCAGA